UCCAAAGGUCUUUCUUAGCUUUGGAGAGCAGACACAAGCACUCCGGCAGAUGCUGAGCAAGAGGCUGCAGUUCCACAGUAGGUUCUGGUUUCUGUUGGCCUUUCAUGCAUGCAUCUUAAAAAUAAAAGGACUUGGUUGUUGAGCACAAAGACUCCUUACUUCUUUGAGAAGAACUCCGCACCCAACACCAAGCUCCUGGCAGUAGGUGAGGGGACAGAGCCAUCCAGCUCCUCACAGCAAUAGUUGCUGCUUGGUCAGGAUUCCCCAGCUGUGACCUCCUCUCUCACCUGGAAAGGAUGAUGGCCCUUCCAGUGCACCAUGGAUCCCGGCUCCUUUCCAUCCAUCUCUUCUGGAGGACUGUCAGCAGGGGCAGCCGUCUCCUCCACAGCCAACCACCCGAGGAGAACAUGGGAAUAGUGGAGACUGUCAUUGGUUUAUCAGCAUUUUCCCUGGCUGUCCUUGGACCAGCUGGAUGGUUCCUGUUCCACCUUCCAAGCUAUAAAAAGAAGUAGAAGAUGUGCUUUCCUAUUUAAGACCUGGAGCCUCAGAUCUGCUAAAUCCUGUGCAUUCGUACUCGAAUAAAUGUAUCCUGCAAAUUGUGGUUGGCAGAAACAUCAAUUUGUUUUAAACUUUUAUGUUUAGAUUUAUGGUAUGUGAAGGAUUUUUCCAUGUUUUAUGUUUAUAAUGGAUGUAUUGCAAAUAUUUUAAAAUCUAGCCUUCACUUUAAAUAAGUAUAAUAAUGGUUCAAUAUGUCAUACUUAUAUGGUAUUAUUCUUGGUUCAAGUCAGAUCUCUUAAUGAUUACAUUUCUGGUUUGCCAAAAUAUAGAGUCCACCCUCCAUGAUGCCUGAUACAAAUCAUAUUUUGCUAGCUGUCCAUCUCCAUUAAGGGUAAAACAACUCACGGUAACAUGAAAAUACAGCUUCUGAAAACAGGGAUUUCAAUGCAAUUUCUUUCUCAGUUAAGUGAAAGUAUAAAUUCUUAGUAUGCUUCUAAAAUACGAUUUUCUAAAAAGCUGAACUCUCUGGUUCUUCUCCUCCACUUUAAAUGCUUUUAGACAUUUAUGAAUUGGAGAGAAUGGGGGCUCCAUGAUAGCUUAUAAAUAGUGAUGCUGUUUUAUUGUUUGCAGAAAAAUAUAGCUCUGUCACUGUAAUUCUAGCAGCAUGAUUCAAUGUCCAUUGAUGUUUAUGGAAGGAUUCCCACAGAUUUCAGUGAGCUUUGGAUUGGGGCCUAGAUUCUUGAUAUCCAGAGAACAAACCAUGCCAGUACUGAUUAGAUGAAAACAGAAAGAUAGCUGCAGGAAGACACUGUGGAGCACUGAUUUUGCAAACAUAAGUAGUCUAUGGGACUAUUCUUCCGUGUAAAAUUAUUCAGUGUGCAUAUAUGCUUGCAGGAUCAGGGGCCUAAUUUGGUUAUUCCUACCUCAUUUAAUAUACAAGAAAUAAUUUAGCAAGUCAUGACAUAUUUUAGUUACUGUGUUUGUCCCUCUAAGAUAUGAUAAUAUCUAGUGAGGUUGCCUGUUUAUAACAAAGUAAAUAAAGUAUGUCAACAGCUCAUUGAAGCAUUUGGAAUGGCACUAGAUGAAAGUCUGGUAAAAAAAUUGUAUAACAUUUGGAGACAUAAGAACAUAGGGAUAUUUAUCUUUCAGUAGAAAUGCUUCCCAGAAAUCAGAGCAGUUAUCUGGAGGAUUGUUUAAAAUAUAAGCAUUUUUCAGAAAUAAAAGAACAUUCAAAUUUUCAGCCCAUCUUUAGAUGUUUUUCUCUUUCUGCAAUGGGAAUUGGGUUUCACGGUUCAUUACUAGUAUUCCUUAGCUCUGAUACAGCACUUGUUACCACCAGAAGAGCUCAAAGUCCUUUACAAAGGUAGAUGAAUAGCAUUGUCCUGUAACCCUUGUCACAGGUGGGGAAGCUGCAGCAAAGAGACUUGCCUGAGGUGACACAACAAUUUAGGGGUAGAGCUGGGAUCAGAACCCAGGGAUAAGAUUCUGUUCCGUGUCUCUAAAGGGCACAGCACAGAUCUCAUAGCCCAGUGCUGGGCGGAAUGGUGGCUUUAAAUGACCUUUGUGCCCUCCCAAUCCUAGGCUGCUCUAGGGACUGGUGGGGCUCCUGACAAACUUUAGACAGCUGUGGUGCCUGUCUAAGUUACAGCAACCUCCUUGGAAUGCUAUAGGUGGUGCACUGUCACCUGGAAUCGCUGCAGAACUGUACAGAGUGUGUCCCCUUCCUUAGCCCCAGCUCUGGGAUACCCCUAUGCCAGGAGUUGGUAGGGAGUCCUCAGAAGGCAGCAUUAUGGCUGUCUGCCACAGUUCCUGUGCCAGCUCAGAACUAAGCUUUUAGUGGUUCUUUACACCAGGGCGGUGCUUAUACCAGGUGCAAAGGGGCCAAAGCAGGAGUGAGGAGGGUGAUUUUUUAAACACUUUCCCUCUCAACUCAUAAAAUGCACGUCUGCUUUUGGUCUAUAAAUAGCUGGUUUGGCCAAUUUUGGGUAAAGAGAGGCACAGCAGAAAAUAAAAUGAAAUUCAGGCUUUGGGAGAAAAUCUUGUGGGUGACAUAAAUUUGCACAAACAUGGCAUGUUUAAAUGACAGUUACUAACACUGUGUUCCUUAGGGCUAAUAAAGCAAAUCUGUUAAUAGUCCAAGACUAUGUUAAUGAGGAUGGUACCAAUUCUCAAUGUGGGAUGUCACUUACUUCUCUGAACCCCUCUACCACGGCAACAAACUAAGCAUUUUGUUCUUUUGAUGGCUAAAGAAAUUACUCAAUAAUUUAGAGCAUUUAUCAUACUUGUUGGGUUUUUUUAGCUCACAGAUACUGACAUUUCUCCCUGGGUGAAAUUCACUCUCCACAGGGAGCCAACAUGAGAUCUAACCCACUUAAGUCCUAUUUCGAAGUCUUAAGUGAUGCACAAACACAUGCUGGUCCUCUGCACAGAAGUGAAUUUCACUCAUUAUGGUCACUAACAGAUUCCACUCCUAUUGAUGCCCAGGCAUUCAUCUUGCUGAUGUCACAUUAACCCAGAGACUAUGAGCCCAAAGGAACAAUUCCUUCCCAUAGCUCCUCCUGAGUCAGCACAGAUACAUGUUGCCCCUUAUUCUGGGCUGAGGCUAAUGGCCCAGUUUAGCCCUACGUCGAUGUCUUUCCUCAGCUGUAAAUGAUAAUACUUAUCUACCUUAUAGGCAUGCAGUGAAGAUUAAUGCUUAUUUAGGAUUUAGGGACAAGUAAAAUCCAACAGGAUCUGACCAUUGUUGUGCGUGAUGGGGGUUUACAAACGUUGCACCACAAAGGAAGGGGUUAAGGAGCUACUCUGAGCCCAGUUAACCCCUCCCCACCACACCUGCACAGCAAACCUGGGUUGGAGGAGAAGCUUAAAAGGAGAACAGACUGGCUCGGUAGCAGUGGAGGAUAAGAGACGUGUAUCCUGUUAGCUUUUCGUUGUGAGUGCUGUGCGGGUGUUCAGCUGCCUGCGAUCUCUGACUCUGUGACUCCACCAGUCCUACUGAGCAAAGGGAUUCUUGACACUCAGAAGGUCUGCGAUUUCCUUUUGAUAUACGUUGUUUCAUGUCUUACUUUGCCUGGGGAGAGAAAGGGACUGGUAGAAAGUAAUUCAGGAAAGCAGUAGUACAGCACCUUUGGGUGCUGACUUUAGCUGCCUUCCAGAAAGCCCUGAACUGGAAGCUAGUGGAAAGGGUGGGCCUGGGUUUCCCUACCUUCACCUAAGGGGUGCAGAGAGCUGUGAGCCUA